UGCUAUGAAAUAUUCUUUUGAUGCAUUUAUUUUAAACUGAAAUGGCUUGUUAGAUGCCAUUUUUGCUAAGAAUCUUGACCUUUGUGUAGGUCGACAGAGAGAAUUUUUUAAAAAAAUGUUAACUGCUAAAGCCCUGAAAUGGAGUGGAGUGGGCCUCUUCUAAUGCCCUCCUUGGAUGUUUUCUCUUUGUUUUCUGGUGGCCUUCCAUUUUGGAAGACUCUGCUACUGGAGCACGAGCUCUGCUGUUCCUUUUAGAUGGUCAGCAUAGGCAUGGAGGUGGAGAGCGGGGAUAAAAGCUCGUUACUCGAAGGCUGCGCUUGAGAUGAUGAAUCUUGUUUGACUGGCAGUUCCUGAGUCCUUUCUACUAAGAAGUGGCAUCUGUCCUCACACAGAUCUUUGAUGAUUGGGUCAAUCUGGCCCUGUCCAAAAAGCCAGGAAAUGAACUGUCCUUAGUGAUCCCGAGUAUCCUGGCCCUAGUUCCAGAGCACUUUCACAACCUGUAGUGAUGACAGCAAGGAACAUUUUGAUGCUCAAGAUUUGAAAACAAGUGAUGCCUUGGAGCUCAAGGCAUGGGUGGGCACCCCAGAAGAGGAGAAGGCUUUUGACGAGAAAGUAUGUUAAGUUCUCUUAACUUUCUGUUCAGAUGUGAUCAGCCCUUUAUUGCUUUUGGCCAAAAACCAUUGCAAAACCUCCAGAACAAAAAGCAGGGACAAGUUGAUUCAUUCAGUUAGAACUUUGGUAGGGAAAAGGAACCCACUCUAUAUCUCAGAGUGUUUUUAUCAUAGCUUUUCUACUUGUUUUAGAAUCGUGAGAGUCAGAAAGUUCCUUAAUGUCAUCACUGUGCAAGCUCUACAUCCAGAGCCAUGAGACUAGGUGUCCCUGAGGGCAGGCCAUUUCAUUGCUCAUUGGACGGGGUCAGAUGAGCCUAAUCCUGAAAAGAGGUAUAUAAGAAACCUGAAGAAUUCUUUUUCUUACCGAGCAUAGAAAUGACAUGAGGAAACACACAGGACUUGAGGUCAAGCCAGCAUCUCAGUGUGGCAGCACGAGGCAUUGUGUCAGUGCUGUGGAAGGCGUGAGUGUCGAGCAGUGUUCUGCCCAGGAGCUGACACAGGAAGAUGUCACCUAGCGAAUGUCACAGCUGAAGACAUUGGUAAAAGAUUGUUAGGAGAUAUUCUGUAAUUCCUUGCCAGUGUGAGACAGUGAGAAAGACACUGACUUUGGAGUCAGAAGACCUUCAGAAGACCUGCCAUCGGUUCUUGGUUCUAGUCCGUCUUUGGCCACGGGAGGCUUUCUCUCCAGAUUUGUGUUUCUUCAUUUGUGAAAUCAGAGGAGUUAGCCUAGAUUCCCACCAAAGUCCAAUUUAGCUCUAAAUAGAUGAUCCUCAAUCCGGUGGAAGGAAGGCUGAUUGCAGAGUACAUUGCUUAGGGAAGUUUUUAGAGAGGAGGUGAGCUAGGUAUCUCACAGUGUAUAUAGGGAGCAUUCUGCUUAUGAAAUCUAUCGCUCUAAUGAGAGCAUGGAAGUGUUUGGUAAUCUGUACUCUGGGACCAAAACUGUUCAUCUUUCUUAAUAUGACUUAAUAGCUGACUUAAUAGAACUACUCAGCUGAUAGAUGAAAAAUAUGUUUGCUGUGUAAAGAGCCAUUUUAUUUAUAACUGGCAUGUAGUUAUAAAUAAAAAGGCUCUUUACACAGCAGACAAAUGAGAUGACUCCUUAGUCUCCCCUUCCCCCAAAACCCUAGUAGCACCUCAUGGUUGGCAUUAGCUUUUCAACAAUUGUUCAAAUCUAAAGUGUGUAAAUAAAUGAUAUGCUAACUUGUCUGAUUUGUCAAAUGUCUUAUGAGUUCAGUUGCUUUGAAUGCUGGUGACUUAUAACUAAAUUUUGAGUAUGUCUGUCUCUCUUAUUCAUAUAUAUACACAUACACACAUUUUAGUUC